GUUGUAGUCUGGAGAAGCGUUUUCUGUGUUGGACCGUGUAUAAGUCUCUUGGAAUAGGGCGUCAUAGAGGGUGAGAAUCCCGUCUUUGACACGGACUACCAAUGCUUUGUGAUGCGCUCUCAAAGAGUCGAGUUGUUUGGGAAUGCAGCUCAAAAUGGGUGGUAAAUUCCAUCUAAAGCUAAAUAUAGGCGAGAGACCGAUAGCGAACAAGUACCGUGAGGGAAAGAUGAAAAGCACUUUGGAAAGAGAGUUAAACAGUACGUGAAAUUGCUGAAAGGGAAACGCUUGAAGUCAGUCGCAUCUGCCAGGACUCAGCCUCACUUCUGUGUGGUGUACUUUCUGGUUUGAUGGGCCAACAUCAAUUUUGACCGUUGGAGAAAGGCUUUGGGAAUGUGGCACCUUCGGGUGUGUUAUAGCCCUUUGUUGUAUGCAACGGUUGGGAUUGAGGACUGCAGCACGCCUUUAUGGCCGGGGUUCACCCACGUACGUGCUUAGGAUGUUGGCAUAAUGGCUUUAAGCGACCCGUCUUGAAACACGGACCAAGGAGUCUAACAUGCCUGCGAGUGUUUGGGUGGAAAACCCAUGCGCGUAAUGAAAGUGAUAGCUGAGAUCCUCUCAUCAGGAGCACCAGCGCCUGGACUUGAUCUACGGAGACGGUUCUACGGUAGAGCAUGUAUGUUGGGACCCGAAAGAUGGUGAACUAUGCCUGAAUAGGGUGAAGCCAGAGGAAACUCUGGUGGAG
rnacentral:rRNA from 1 species